GUCGACGGCAGCACGGGAGCAAUCCUGGUGGCGAGUGGCGAACGGGUGAGUAAUGUAUCGGAACGUACCUUUCAGUGGGGGAUAACGUAGCGAAAGUUACGCUAAUACCGCAUAUUCUGUGAGCAGGAAAGCAGGGGAUCGCAAGACCUUGCGCUGAUUGAGCGGCCGAUAUCAGAUUAGCUAGUUGGUGAGGUAAAGGCUCACCAAGGCGACGAUCUGUAGCGGGUCUGAGAGGAUGAUCCGCCACACUGGAACUGAGACACGGUCCAGACUCCUACGGGAGGCAGCAGUGGGGAAUUUUGGACAAUGGGGGCAACCCUGAUCCAGCCAUGCCGCGUGAGUGAAGAAGGCCUUCGGGUUGUAAAGCUCUUUCAGCCGGGAAGAAAUCACAUGGGUUAAUACCCUGUGUGGAUGACGGUACCGGAAUAAGAAGCACCGGCUAACUACGUGCCAGCAGCCGCGGUAAUACGUAGGGUGCGAGCGUUAAUCGGAAUUACUGGGCGUAAAGCGUGCGCAGGCGGUUUGUUAAGAUAGGCGUGAAAUCCCCGGGCUCAACCUGGGAACUGCGUUUAUGACUGGCAGGCUAGAGUAUGGCAGAGGGGGGUGGAAUUCCACGUGUAGCAGUGAAAUGCGUAGAGAUGUGGAGGAACACCGAUGGCGAAGGCAGCCCCCUGGGCCAAUACUGACGCUCAUGCACGAAAGCGUGGGUAGCAAACAGGAUUAGAUACCCUGGUAGUCCACGCCCUAAACGAUGUCAACUAGGUGUUGGGUGGGUAAAACCAUUUAGUACCGGAGCUAACGCGUGAGGUUGACCGCCUGGGGAGUACG
rnacentral:rRNA from 1 species